rnacentral:tRNA from 2 species
GCGUCGGUAGUCCAACGGCUAGGAUAGAAGCCUUCCAAGCUUUUGAUCCGGGUUCGAAUCCCGGCCGACGCA